ACCCUAUGUAUGAUUAUAUGUUGAUGAUAAUUGAAGAUCGUAAACUUAAUAUAGCGACUGAUGUAUUUUGUAGUUAUCUGUACACUGUUGCGAGUCGAUGAAAGAUUGACAAAGCAGUUUUGGUUGUUGUAGCCAUCUUCAUUGGAGUGAAAUUUGGAGUAAGCGAAACCGCAGAAAACCUCCCACAAUGGUACGCCAUAGUGGUGGUGCCAUUCAUAUGCACCUAUGUAGCUGCCUUUGCUUGGUCAUGGGGUCCAUUGGGAUGGCUAGUACCUUCUGAAAUCUUUUCAUUAGAGAUAAGGUCUGCAGCUCAAAGUAUAACUGUGGCCGUCAACAUGUUCUUCACCUUUGUAAUAGCCCAAAUUUUCCUCGCUAUGGUCUGCCACCUCAAAUUCGGGCUCUUCCUCUUCUUCGCCUUCUUUGUCGUGGUUAUGUCCAUCUUCAUCUACCUCUUUCUUCCCGAGACUAAGGGCGUUCCCAUUGAAGAAAUGAGCAUUAUGUGGAAGAAUCAUUGGUUCUGGGGCAAGUACAUUCCUGAUGAAGAUUUACUAGUCUUGAAAUGGGCAAGAGUAAGAUGCAAGGAUUACAAAUGGUUUUAGCUGAAAGUUGGUAGAAAAGAUGCACAAAUUUGUUGUAUUUAUUUCAUUCGUUUAGUUCUUUCUAUUACUUGUUUAUGGAAUUAAUGGUUAUGUUAAAGUUGGAUCACCUUGUUUUUAUAGAAUUAAUGGUUAUGUUAUGGCGGGAUUGCCAUUUUUAUGAGAGUUUUUUUCCUCUAAGUGAUA